GGGGGCUUUAAACCUAGCCUUUUUUGUUCCUGUCUGUUGGCACAGCAGUCACAGUUAAGGUCAGGUGUCAGACCAGAUUUAAACCAUAACUGUCUAUUUCCUUGUUUUUGUGAGCUGAAGUUAGCUCCUUAUUGUGAUUUAAAUUGGUCACCAUAUACAAGGAGAGGAGGGGUUCAAUUAAGCUAUGAAACAAAGAAUAUGACUGCUUUCAGGGCACAAAUGCCUGCAUAUUUCCCUGUGUAUUGGUGAGAGGCUGAAAUUGUAGGAAGAUGCUAGAAGACCAGAGCUGCUGACGUGGUGCUAGUCUACAUCAAUAUUACAAAGUGGACAUGUUAGCAGCUGAGGAACUGCCGUGACCAUGACUGUGAAGGUGGAAGAACACUGAGACGGUGCAGGAGGAUUUUUCUUGACAUCCAAGAAGAUGCACUAUUAAGCAUGAGACAACAACCACAGGGAAGCUAUAUGGAUCUCAUGAAGAUUACUUCUGACCAGAGGCAGAAGCCACCAGGUGCUGCCAUGUUUGUGCUGUGGCUACUGGGAACACCCUUUUUAGAAGACAUUACCUCAGGGAUUUGUGAUGGUACCAGAAACAAUGAGCUCCAGUCGUAUAGCAUGAGGCUUGAAAGUCCUGCCAGGGGUUGUGAACACCACAGGGUGGCCAAUAUGAAACACUUCAGUCAUGUUCUGUGCUAAAGUGUAAUUACUGGAUGCAAGCAGAUCUCUAAUUUUAACCAGUCCAUUCCCCCACAGUUACUAUGGUGCCAGCAUUUCCUUUGUAAUGACUCCACUUUGCAGGAAUGCCUCAUUACCUAAAAAGAAAUCAUGCUCGGCUGCAGUCUAGAACACAGCAACAGAACAAAUUUACCUCAUUAAAAAGAUUGGCUCAGUCAUUUCUUUUUAAAUUAUACAAUGGAAAGCAGUUUUUAAAAGUCCACUUGCCCCCAUAUACUUCAAAAUAUAUCUUGAGUUAAACAGCCCUUUCUGGCAAUCAAGGUGCAAAGUAUAUACUGUGAUAACAUUUUCAUGCACCCUGAUGAAAUGGUACUCCAAGAUAUGACAGAACAUGUGUUCAGUUUUCAAAUGCGGAUGUUUAAAAUUAGAUCAUGUUAAACGUAGCAUAUAGACUUGUAAAUGGGCUUGAAGAUACCUAAACACCAUUUAUACAUCUAAAUACAAUUUUAAGCACCCAACUAUAGGGUACUAACAUUGAAGGCUGGACUUUCUCAUCUAAGGGAGAACCAGAAAGCAACAUGUUUAUGCAUUCGCCUAAAAGACCUGUCCUCAACUCUUGCCUGCAUUGCCCAUGGAACGAGAUGAGUAGUCUUCUCCUACUUUCUUGCAGCCGCUUAUGGACACACAACAGCCUCAGACAAAACUAUUUAUUUUCAAACCACUGAAAACCUUCACUUUAAAGGGAUUUACAGUCAUAAUAAGUAAUCUUCAGGCCAGGACUGAGAUGCUUCAGCAGAGCUGUGCAGGAGAAGCAUGGACAAAGCAAGUUAUUGUCAGUCCUAUAAUCUCUUUGUUUUCAAUAACUGCUCAUAUUUGCACAAAAAUUACAAAUAUUAGUGGCAAGUUGAAGGACAUAAUUCAGACAUUGCCCACUCCAUUCUCCCAUAACACCCUACCAGAAAAACUGGGAAAUGCCCAAGUCAUUUUUCUCAUCGAAUCAAGAUGACCAGCCUUUAUCUUUAUAUUGAUUGCCUCUUUUGUCCUGAGGUUCUUGCCUGAAGGACAUUUUAUUAAUGUAAAUUUGACUGAUGGGCUGAUACAUUUAUAUUCAUGAGAACUUAGUGGGCCCUAAGCAGAUUAGCAUUAGUUUACACUCCAAUUUUAUCAAUAAUAAUCAGGAAGAGGAGGGAUUAAUCAGAAACAGGCAAAUAGCUUCAGUCUUCUAAUCUCAUCAUAUCAAUGCUGUGCACUCAGCCCAACAAUGUGAACAGUGUAUACUGUGUGAUAGGCCAGCAACCAUAACGAUUUUUCAAGCCCAUGUUUAGUAUUUCAUUGAUGCUGCCUGUACACCCAUUUGCCACAAAUGUACUUUUACUUGAAGCAGCAUACAUGGCAAUUAAGGAAUUAGUUUAAUGGGAUAAUGGAAUAAUAAACUGUGCUUUGAGCAUUGCCAUGCUCUGUGCUACAAUAGCUGCACCCCAGUUGCACCACCCUGUGACACAUGAACAGCAGAUUUCCCUACCAUAGAUGCACAGGUAAAAAUCAGAAAACAAAAUGUCCUGAAAUCGUUGUUCACAGCAAGUUUCAUUUCAGAAGUAAGGAUGGUACAGACCAAAAAAAGCGUAAUAUAAUUUGUUUUGCCUAUUAGCAGCAAUGACCGGGUUGUUAUAUGUGCUCCGGGGUGUAUGGAGGAAGGAGAGGUGCUUUAACUAGAGAGGUUCUUGGGAGCCACUCUAAUUAAAGCGCCUGCAGUGUCUCAUCUAUUCAGCAUCCUGCGCUUCAAAAUGGUGGUGGUGGCACUUUGACUAAAGCUUGUUUGACAAGUUUUAAUUAAGGCACCACUGCCACCAUUUUGAACUGCAGGGACGCUGAAUACAUGUGAUGCCAAGGCGGCUGGAACAUGCUAAUUAGCACACUCCAUACUCCAGCAGACUAAAUUAAUUGAGUCUGCUCCAACACACUCUAAUUAGAACGUUCUAAUUAGAAUAUGUUGGAGCAGGCUGUCGUGCGAUAGGCAUGGGUAUAGGCGCCCAAUGUGUCAAAGUAGCUGGAUCUACACCAGACUCUGAUGCAAAAGCUUACACAUUGCAAAGCUAUAUGUACCACUCCAUGGACAAUACCAAUGUUUGGAGCACUAAUAUAGAUAAUGGAAUGAUAUUUUUAAUGCUUAGGCCAGGUCCUAUUACAAUUUAGAGUACCUAAAUGUGAUCCUAUUCCAGCCUGCUUGAAUCCCUGAAAAACUAUUAAUACAGAAGGUGGGUGGAUCCUUUUUCUCCCCUCCUCGUUCUGUUGUGAUGUAGUCCUAAGAUGAAGAUAACAGCAUGAUACAAAAAUAGAUGCAUUAAUGGAUUUUCCGGAUCUUAAAUAGGGUGGAAUAGGAUUGCAUUGAGGAGCUUGUCCACUUAGAAUAUGGGCCCUGGUUUUCUAAUCUUGCUUAGAGCAAGUCCAGAGAACAUGGUGAAAAUAUCUGCUACUGCCAGAAUGGUUUCACAUUAGGGUUGGGGAUUUGACUGGUCAAAUAAUGUUUGGUUAAUUGACCAGUCAAAUAUUGGUAAAAAAUUAUUUAAAAUUGCCAGGAGGCCCAAAUGAUACAAAUUUUCUAUUAAGAAAUGUGUCAAAAACUAUUUUAAAAAUCAUAUUUCUGUCAAGAAAACUACCAAAAAUGUAGGUCUUUUUGUAAAAUUGCUAUAAUCUUUGACCAGUCAAAAAAUAUGCAGUCAAUUGACUGAUCAAUUGACAAUAUUUGCCCGGUCAACUGUCUGGCUUGCCAGCCCUAUUUCACAUUAUAAAGUAAAAAUUUAAAUUGUGGCCAUGCUUAGUGACAUCAAGGAUCCCAGUCAUUGCUAUCACUGCUGAUAGUGCAACAGCAGGAGAUUUCUCAAGUAAAAAUGAAGAAGGCUGCAAGUCAAUCUUCAAUGAAUUUGUUUUUUUCUCAGAAGAGAUGUUUAUAUAUCUACCACAAUAUGUUUAGUUUUUAAAAUUAAGUUAGCACCCAGUCCUACUCUUGUUGAAGCCAAUGGGAAUGGAAUUGUUUCCUUAGUGUUUAAACCAUUGCCCUUGCUUGAGAUGAGUCUGACCAUUGUACAGGGAAAGCAUGCACAAAACCUAACAAACACUAUUAUUUCUUCACAAUCUUGCACAGGAAACAGAAUCAAGUUUUUAUGCUCUUGCAGUCUGACACCAACAAAGUGAUUUCUCAGCCCCCCUAACAAGAUUUGACGUCAGCUUGCUGCUGUUUAACUUCCUCAUGGGAGUUUCUUUUACUUGCAAAUAUACAUUAUAUUAUAAUCACAGUGCUACACUGCAAAGAGAAUAGUGGGCUUGUUUUGAGAUGCUUCCUGUCAGAGUUGUAACAGUGCCCAGGGUUAGCAAUGGUGUGAGUUGUACCACAGCCAACAUCUAGGCAGCUGCCUGUUCUUCUACCACUACAUAAAUCUGAAACCUCUGAGCAGAGUUAAAUGUUACAUAGUGGUAAAAAUGCUGACGUCAGAUCUGUACUAGGCCUUACAUGGCUGCCACCACUCAUGGAAUAGGAGGACCAGGGGUUGCGAAAUGGGGUAAAAUAAAGACCAAAUUCUUGCACAUACGCAGCCUACCUAACCUCAAUGAAUGCAGUCUGUGACACUGUAGUGAAGUUGCAACUGCUUCAAACUACUAUGCAUUCUUAAACCAGACAUGAUUUGCCAACGAUGCCUCUUCCAAAUGAGUGGCUACAUAUUGCAUUAGCAUUCCCAGAUGCCCUGCCUCAGCUCAGGAAGCCUGGGGGUAAAAAAAAAUAUCCAGGAAGCUCUGGGAUGUUCUUAUGCCUCAGAGAACUACAGUGCAAAUCACACUAAUUGUUUGUUAGAUGAACAAUAAUCACUAAUUAACAUUGUUAAAAUGUCAUCAAUGAUCACUAAUUAACAUUGUUAAAAUUUGUUAACAAAGGAAAUUUAGCAAUAUUUUAAUUAGGAAGGAUUUCUAAUUUGUGAUAUACAGCAUGUUAGACAAACAAGGCACAACUCUCCCUUUGUUUCUCAGCUCUGCAGCAGGAGAGAUUACAUGAUAUGACACAAUACAUUCUGCAUUUGCCAUUUAUCAUUCUAUAUCUUUUACACACUUGUGCUGUAUAAUUAGUGCCCAGGCUAAUUUUACCUGUGUUAUUGUUUGCCCUGUAAUUUGGAGAGAAUAGGCCAUGCUGAUGCUAUAUGAUUUAGUCUGGGGCAAUCAGCUGGCUUUUUGCCACAAGACUUCUGCUUACAUGUGACUGCAAUAAAGUACAUACACUGUAACAUAAAGAGAACCUUUCAGUGUCUUAAUUUAGUUAAUUAUAUGGUAGGAGAUAAG